rnacentral:rRNA from 1 species
GGGGAAUAUUGCACAAUGGGCGAAAGCCUGAUGCAGCAACGCCGCGUGAGCGAUGAAGGCCUUCGGGUCGUAAAGCUCUGUCCUAAGGGAAUAAAGUGAGGCACGUGUGCCUUAUUGUAUGUACCUUAGGAAUAAGCAUCGGCUAACUCCGUGCCAGCAGCCGCGGUAAUACGGAGGAUGCAAGCGUUAUCCGGAUUUAUUGGGUUUAAAGGGAGCGUAGGCGGACUAUUAAGUCAGCUGUGAAAGUUUACGGCUCAACCGUGAAAUUGCAGUUGAAACUGGUCGUCUUGAGUGCAGUAAAGGUGGGCGGAAUUCGUGGUGUAGCGGUGAAAUGCUUAGAUAUCACGAAGAACUCCAAUUGCGAAGGCAGCUCACUGGAGUGUAACUGACGCUGAUGCUCGAAAGUGUGGGUAUCAAACA